GCCCCUGUAGCUCAGGGGAUAGAGCAACGGCCUCCGGAGCCGUGUGCGCAGGUUCGAAUCCUGCCAGGGGCA
rnacentral:tRNA from 3 species